CUGGGUCUUCUGUGUGUCUUACGUAAUCCGUGCCAGCUCUACGAGUAAGCAACCAUGUCUAAGGGACCUGCGAUUGGUAUUGAUCUUGGCACCACCUACUCUUGUGUGGUCUUCCAGCAUGGAAAAGUGGAGAUAAUUGCUAAUGAUCAGGGAAACCGAAUCACUAUGUUGGCUUUACUGACACCAAACGAUUGAUUGGUGAUGCUGGGAAAAAUCAAGUUACAAUGAACCCCACGAACACAGUUUUUGAUGCCAAGUGUCUGAUUGGACGCAGGUUUGAUGAUGCUGUUGCCCAGUCUGAUACGAAGCAUUGGCCUUUCGUGGUGGUGAAUGAUGCAGGCAGGCCCAAGGUCCAAGUAGAAUAUAAAGGAGAGACAAAAAGUUUCUAUCCAGAGGAGGUGUCAUCCAUGGUUCUAACAAAGAUGAAGGAAAUUGCAGAAGCCUAUCUGGGAAAGACUGUUACCAAUGCUGUGGUCACAGUACCAGCUUACUUCACUGAUUCUCAGCGUCAGGCUACCAAAGAUGUUGGAACUAUUGCUGGUCUCAAUGUUCUUAGGAUUAUAAAUGAGCCAACUGCUGCUGCUAUUGCUUAUGGCUUAGACAAAAAGGUUGGAGCUGAAAGAAAUGUGCUAAUCUUUGACCUUGGAAGUGGCACGUUUGAUGUGUCAAUCCUCACUAUUGAGGAUGGAAUCUUUGAGGUCAAGUCUACAGCUGGAGAUACUCACUUGGGUGGCGAAGACUUUGACAAUCGAAUGGUCAACCAUUUUAUUGCUGAGUUUAAGCGCAAACAUAAGAAGGACAUCAGUGAGAAUAAAAGAGCUGUCCAUCGCCUCUGUACUGCUUGCGAACAUGCUAAGCAUACUCUAUCUUCCAGCACCCAGGCCAGUAUUGAGAUUGAUUCCCUUUAUGAAGGAAUUGACUUCUCUACCUCCAUUACCUGUGCCCAAUUUGAAAAAUUGAAUGCUGGGGGCGGAGCCAAGAUGGCGAACUGCAGCCAGCUUUUUACAGAAGCUCCC